CAGGAUUGGUCAGACCAGGCUGGGUGUUGGCUGCUACAUGAGUGACAGGGGAGUUGGAUGGGAACUUUAGAACCAUGAUAACAUCCUGUUGAGCUUGGUCUGUGAACAUCAACGGGCUCUGCAGGAGGAGAUACACCUGCAUGGCAGAACUUCUUGGAGGAUGUGGUUCUAUGAGCAGUUGGGAAGGGGUCUGUCCAAAACUUCGUAUUUGAGCUUCAACAGCCUCUCUCAAUACAGG
rnacentral:lncRNA from 1 species